AGUGAACGCUGGCGGUAGGCCUAACACAUGCAAGUCGAACGGCAGCACAGUAAGAGCUUGCUCUUACGGGUGGCGAGUGGCGGACGGGUGAGGAAUACAUCGGAAUCUACUUUUUCGGGGGGGAUAACGUAGGGAAACUUACGCUAAUACCGCAUACGACCUACGGGUGAAAGCAGUGGAUCUUCGGACCUUGCGCGAUUGAAUGAGCCGAUGUCGGAUUAGUUGGUUGGCGGGGGAAAGGCCCACCCAGUCGACGAUCCGUAGCUGGUGUGAGUGGAUGAUCACCCACCCUGGACCUGAGACACGGCCCAGCCUCCUACGGGAGGCACCAGAGGGGAAUAUUGGACAAUGGGCGCAAGCCUGAUCCAGCCAUCCCGCGUAGGUGAAGAAGGCUUUCGGGUUUUAAAGCCCUUUUUUUGGCAAAGACAAGCAGCAGGUUAAUACCCCGCUGUUCUGACGGUACCCAAAGAAUAAGCACCGGCUAACUUCGUG
rnacentral:rRNA from 1 species